CCUCCUUUUUUUGGCAGGCCCGGGUCUCCCAAUGCCUGGCUCUGUAAUGUCCGGAGGUACAGGAAUGCCCAGCCAGUGUUCUGUCUUCGGUGCCAGUGACUUUGCCAAACAA